CAGAUGUUUCCAGACUGCCUGAGAUUAUUGUGGAAGGGACUGCCAUUCGGCUUCAUGAGAUGGGAAUUAUAGCUCUGCAAUAUUUGGGGAGCCCGAUUAAGACGGCAAGGAAAUGGCAAGGGGCAGAAGGGUCACCCCCUUAUCCAGCUUUUAUUUUGGGCAUCUAAACUGUCGGAUUUGACAUGAAUUAAAACAUCUGAAAAUCGUA